rnacentral:tRNA from 1 species
GGAGGGGUGCCCGAGUGGCCAAAGGGAGCAGACUGUAAAUCUGCCGGCGAUCGCCUUCCGAGGUUCGAAUCCUCGCCCCUCCACCA